rnacentral:rRNA from 1 species
GACGAACCGUGCAAACGUUAUUCGGAAUCACUGGGCUUAAAGGGCGCGUAGGCGGGCCGCCAGGUCCGGGGUGAAAGCCUCCAGCUCAACUGGAGAAGUGCCUUGGAUACCGGCGGCCUCGAGGGAGGUAGGGGCGUGCGGAACUUCGGGUGGAGCGGUGAAAUGCGUUGAUAUGCAUAGGAACUCCGGUGGCGAAGGCGGCGUGCUGGACCUCUUCUGACGCUGAGGCGCGAAAGCCAGGGGAGCAAACGGG